UGACACUUUUUCUCUUCCCCAG
rnacentral:miRNA from 1 species